rnacentral:rRNA from 1 species
AUUGAACGCUGGCGGCAGGCCUAACACAUGCAAGUCGAACGAGUGGCGGACGGGUGAGUAAUGUCUGGGAAACUGCCCGAUGGAGGGGGAUAACUACUGGAAACGGUAGCUAAUACCGCAUACCAUCGGAUGUGCCCAGAUGGGAUUAGCUAGUCGGUGGGGUAACGGCUCACAUAGGCGACGAUCCCUAGCUGGUCUGAGAGGAUGACCAGACACACUGGAACUGAGACACGGUCCAGACGCCUACGGGAGGCAGCAGUGGGGAAUGUUGGACAAUGGCGUCAAGCCUGAUGCAGCCAUGCCGCGUGUGUGAAGGAGGCCUUCGGGUUGUAAAGUACUUUCAGCGGGGAGGCGUUACUCGCAGAAGAAGCACCGGCUAACUCCGUGCCAGCAGCCGCGGUAAUUC